rnacentral:rRNA from 1 species
AGCGUUGUUCGGAAUUACUGGGCGUAAAGCGCACGUAGGCGGUAUUUCCAGUCAGAGGUGAAAUCCCGGGGCUCAACCCCGGAAUAGCCUUUAAAACUGGAAGUCUAGAAUCACGGAGAGGUGGGUGGAAUUCCGAGUGUAG